rnacentral:lncRNA from 1 species
UCAUAGAUGAUAUGAUUAAGGCGAUUAGAAAAUAUUAGUGGGCAAAAGCGGGGGCGGAUAGGGGAUAUGCGAUGUUAGAUUGGAAAAGGUACAAGAAGUCUCGACUUUUGGGAUAUUCGAUUGUUUAAUAUUGCUCUCCUUGGACGAUAAUUAUGGUGACUUUUGCACUAUAGGAUAUGCUUUGUUUUAAGGUUCUUUCGACUAAAUACUUCCCUCCUGGUGACAUUUUUGCAUCCUAAUGUUGAUAAACCCUCUUUCAUUUGGAAGGGUUUUAUGAAAGCUUUGAAUAUGCUUAGUCCAGGAUUUUAUUGGAGGAUAGGAAAUGGUAGUAAGCCCGUAUUUGGAUGGAUAGAUGGGGGAAAGGUUUAUAAAUGGCCUGGAUAUAGGUCAAUGUAAUUCUAUUCCCCAUGAUGCAUGUCUCAGUUAUUUUUAGAAGCACGAAGAUGGAAUGCAACUUCAAUUCAAUCCUUUUGCAAUAAUGAGGUAGCCUCUAGGAUUAUCCAUUUGCCUAUCGGGGAGGCACAUGAAGAUGAUAAGUUGGUGUGGGGACAUGCACACAACAAUGUCUAUAUAUACCACGAGAUAUCGGGGUAUAAUUAGUUACUUCUUUAGGCUUUGGGUAUAAGUCCUCAUAGGGUCUUUUGGAAGGAGCUCUGGAAUGUUAGUAGUUUGCAAUAUUAGUAAUUUUACACUGCUAACAUAUAUAAAAUUUAAAUAAUAUAAAUAAAGAAUUCUUUAUAACUUGGGUAAUUGAGUUGGGUGCCUAGUCGAUUGGAUAAGUGGGUUUAGCCAUUGGCUAUACCUACAUGUGUAACGUCAAAAAAUGGGUAUGAGACACUUGGGC